UCGACGAAGCGCCGGUGCUUGCACCGGAUGACUUAGUGGCACGGAAGAGUAACGCGUGGGAAUUUGCCCGGUAGUACGGAAUAUACCGCGGGAAACUGCGGCUAAUACCGUAUACGCCCUCAGGGGGAAAGAUUUAUCGCUAUCGGAUAAGCCCGCGUCGGAUUAGCUAGUUGGCGGGGUAAUGGCCCACCAAGGCGACGAUCCGUAGCUGGUCUGAGAGGAUGAUCAGCCUCACUGGGACUGAGACACGGCCCAGACUCCUACGGGAGGCAGCAGUGAGGAAUAUUGGACAAUGGGCGAAAGCCUGAUCCAGCCAUGCCGCGUGAGUGAUGAAGGCCCUAGGGUUGUAAAGCUCUUUCAGCGGGGAAGAUGAUGACGGUACCCGCAGAAGAAGCCCCGGCCAACUCCGUGCCAGCAGCCGCGGUAAUACGGAGGGGGCUAGCGUUGUUCGGAAUUACUGGGCGUAAAGCGCGCGUAGGUGGUUGGCCAAGUCAGGCGUGAAAUCCCCCGGGCUCAACCUGGGAACUGCGCUUGAUACUGGUCGGCUAGAGUCCGGGGAGAGGGUAGUUGGAAUUCCCAGUGUAGAGGUGAAAUUCGUAGAUAUUGCGGAAGAACACCAGCGGCGAAGCGGCUACCUGGACCGGUACUGACGCUGAGGGUGCGAAAGCGUGGGGAGCAAACAGGAUUAGAUACCCCUGGUAGUCCACGCCCGUAAACGAUGAGUGCUAGAUGUCCGGGGGACUUGUCUUUCGGUGUCACCAGCUAAACGCAUUAAGCACUCCGCCGGGGAGUACGGCCGCACGGCUAAUACU
rnacentral:rRNA from 1 species